GGGUGGCCCGUCCGGGUGGUCCGUCCGGGGAGGCCCGUGGUGCAGCCACAGCACACAGCGCUCCCAGGGCGGCCCCUCACAGCAGACGCCGUGGUGCUGGGGGAAAGGCCACGGGUGAGAUCACUGCAGGGAGGUGAACGGUGACACAGAGAUGCUGAGAUGCUGACUGAGGUUUCCUCUGGGGGGCGGGAUGGGGUCUUCCUCUCUCUACCUUUGCUGGCUGGCAAGCUCUCUCCAGUGGGCACGUGGCGGCUUUGUAGGCCUGCGGGCCUCGUCCCGUGUCUGUCACAGAUGGUUCUUCGUGUGCCCUCCCACUAUUCCAUAAGCAGACGAAAAUGUAAAAUACGAGACUUAAAAGGUGAUGCUGGUGCUUUUGAUCCCUAAUCAAAGGCAUGUCUAUUGGCUUCACUGUCCCCAGCUGGUGACAUCUUCCCAGCAUUUGAAGCUUCCCCAGGAGCGGGUGCAGGUGGGGAUACGGGCCAGGCAGGAGUGGGGAUGCUUUGGAGAGCACCAGGAGUCGGGUCCUGUGUCCCCCGGCUCCUGGGAGCUGCCCACUCAGCCCAAAACCAGACCUCCCCCUAAGGCUGGGGACAUCCCCCACUUCACUGGCCCUGGAUGCUCAUGUGGCCUCAGGCCAUUGUUUACUUCUCUGAACCUUAUAGGGGAGACCCCAUGAUGGAGCCCUGUCCCUGAGCCUGGGUGCUGAGGAGCGCUGACCUGUGACCCUGGUGGCUGGCGUCCUGGAGUAGGAGGGGCCAGCCUGCACGUAGCCCCCACAACAAGCCAGGAUGUAGAUGCCGUUAUCCCAUUUUACGGACGAGGAAACUGAGGCCCAGAGGUGGUACAGCCGGUGGGUGGAGGGGAGGGCUUCAGACCCUAGAGACCCCCAGAGUGUUCUCACGUGGUGGCUGUGAGCGGGUGGGGGUCCCCAGCUCCACACUGGUGCAGGCCGUGCUCACAGGACGGGAAUCGGGGCCACCAUCAGAGCUCAGACUUCAGACCAGCCCGGGGGGAGUCGGGGUGGCCAGAGUCACUGUGCCGGGUGGGGCCGGGAGCUGCACUGGUAGCUCCCAGGGAGGAGACGACAGGGUGGCUGACGUGCCCCGGAAAGACCGAGGGCCAGGGAGGGCCAUGGGUGUCAGCAGGGGGAGCUGUCUGACAGUGGCCAGGCUAUGGUGUGCCCAAUGUCCCCCGAGGCGCUUGGCCUUGGCUCGGGGCCCGUGGGAACCUGGGGCGGGUCCGGAGGCCGGAGACCUGAGACGGACAGUCGUGGGGGGAGCCAGAAGCUGCAGCCUGAUCACCGUGGGCUCUGGGCCAGGGUCCACACGUGACGGUCCGUCUGGCUCCACGGGUCAGAGGGAGGCUGUGGGGCGCUGUACUCAGGGUCUUGGCCGUGUAAACAUUAGUAGCAGGAAACGGCACAAGCUGGAGUCAGGAGGCCCCACCAGUGGGGGUCGGUCGCGACCUCGCGGCCGCCAGCAGCUCCGCCAAUGAGAAGCCACCACACUCCCGGUGUCCUCCAAUGGACGUUGAGUUCAUAACGACCUUCCCAAGCCACCUCUUCUCUCCUUGAAAAAGCGCACCUGUCCCUUGUUGCCCAGACUCGCCUACGGUUUUGCCGCCGCCUGUCGUCCUGGGUUCAAUUCUCUUUUGUUUCCGAAUCAGCCCUUGUUUUGCUGGUAAAGUAACGGGUGGUUUUACUUGCAAGGUUGACAACGGCAGGCGUGCCCACGUGACCCCCCCCCCCCCCCCCCCCCGCGCGGGCUACAUGGGAGCUGGCGGAGCCUCCGCGAGGCCUGGACGCAGGCCCGGCCGUCUGCCCGUCUGCCCUGCAGCAGAGGGGACGCCACCCCAAGGCCAUCCCCGACCUGCCCAAGGUCUUCAGCGUCUCCUCUGGCAAGACGGAUGUUCCCUUCCAGAUAAUUGUAUCUGGUGUUUGGCCCUGUCCUCCUCAGUAGCAUGUGGCCUCACUGAUAUAAUCUGAAAAACCAGGUUUUCCUCCCGAGUGAAGAGGAAAAUCCCUAAAGAGCACCGUUUCCACAGGAACAGCCUGUUCCAAAAAAAUCCCGCCCAAAGCCAGCACAUUUCCAGUUAGGAACAGUUUGUCUCCAAAAAGGAGUCGGGCCAGAAAGAAGACUUAAAACAGAUCCCGACCAGGCCCCGGGGAGCUCAGAAGGCAGGAAUCCCGGAGACACCGCCCUCAAACCCCAGGGGGCGGGCGCUCAGGGAGGUCAGCCGGCCCGCGGGCACCUGCUGGCUCUCCGGCCUUGGGCGGUUGAGCGCCUUCUCCGAUCCCGCUUCUCUGGCACCAGGGGGUGUUGACCUUUUGCCAGGUAUUUUACCGGCAGAAAGGGAUUUAUUUGGGAGGAACGGAGGACUGCAACCUGGGAUUGCAAGCCACCGCAGAAACCGUGUGGUAGGCGCGCGUGCGUAGUUUUCCAAGUCCACGCCUUGCCCGUUGUUUUCUUGACGGGGUCUUUGGAUGAGCAGACGGUUUCACAAAAGUGCAACGUAACCGCUUUUAUGAUCAUUGCUUUUGGCAUCUCGUCCAGGAGGCCUCUUCCCGAGGUCGCUGAGGUCGGCUCACCGUCUCUGGGCUCCGGACACCCUUCGGUACCUGCUGUGGGCAUGUUUCUCCUUCGGGAAGGCCAGGUGUCAGGUUUGCCCAGCGCAGUGCCCAGGGGUGGGUGGUGUGGGGUGAGGACAACAUCCGGUGCGCCGCCUCGUGCCCCCUGGUGACCUUGUGGCCCUGCUGGCCUGAUGUAGUCUCCCUGUGGCC